rnacentral:rRNA from 1 species
AGGGAAACCGAGUCUUAACUGGGCGUUAAGUUGCAGGGUAUAGACCCGAAACCCGGUGAUCUAGCCAUGGGCAGGUUGAAGGUUGGGUAACACUAACUGGAGGACCGAACCGACUAAUGUUGAAAAAUUAGCGGAUGACUUGUGGCUGGGGGUGAAAGGCCAAUCAAACCGGGAGAUAGCUGGUUCUCCCCGAAAGCUAUUUAGGUAGCGCCUCGUGAACUCAUCUUCGGGGGUAGAGCACUGUUUCGGCUAGGGGGUCAUCCCGACUUACCAACCCGAUGCAAACUGCGAAUACCGAAGAAUGUUAUCACGGGAGACACACGGCGGGUGCUAACGUCCGUCGUGAAGAGGGAAACAACCCAGACCGCCAGCUAAGGUCCCAAAGUCACAGUUAAGUGGGAAACGAUGUGGGAAGGCUCAGACAGCCAGGAUGUUGGCUUAGAAGCAGCCAUCAUUUAAAGAAAGCGUAAUAGCUCACUGGUCGAGUCGGCCUGCGCGGAAGAUGUAACGGGGCUAAACUGUGCACCGAAGCUGCGGCAGCGACGCUUAUGCGUUGUUGGGUAGGGGAGCGUUCUGUAAGCCUGCGAAGGUGUCCUGUGAGGGAUGCUGGAGGUAUCAGAAGUGCGAAUGCUGACAUAAGUAACGAUAAUGCGGGUGAAAAGCCCGCUCGCCGGAAGACCAAGGGUUCCUGUCCAACGUUAAUCGGGGCAGGGUGAGUCGACCCCUAAGGCGAGGCCGAAAGGCGUAGUCGAUGGGAAACGGGUUAAUAUUCCCGUACUUGGUGUUACUGCGAAGGGGGGACGGAGAAGGCUAUGUUGGCCGGGCGACGGUUGUCCCGGUUUAAGCGUGUAGGCUGGUUUUCCAGG